rnacentral:lncRNA from 1 species
UUUGAGUUUGCUUUGGGUAUUCAGGAAUUCCUGUCAAAAUGAAAUCUGCUCAACCGAGAGGAGGAUGAGUUGGGCUCCAGUUCUGGUGGCCCUGUGGCUCUCAGCACCUGAUCAAUGAUCCCUUCACUCUUAACAUCACAAAACAGAGGUAAGGCCUUUUUUCCCCUAUCAUAGCUGCUAAGCCCAUUGAGUAAAAAUAGCCAACUCACUGACACGACUCUAUUCUCAAGCAAAAUAUUAAACCUG